rnacentral:rRNA from 1 species
CACAAGCGGUGGAGCAUGUGGUUUAAUUCGAUGCAACGCGAAGAACCUUACCUGGGCUUGACAUCCCGGGAAUCCCUUGGAAACAAGGGAGUGCCCUUCGGGGAACCUGGAGACAGGUGCUGCAUGGCUGUCGUCAGCUCGUGUCGUGAGAUGUAGGGUUAAGUCCCGCAACGAGCGCAACCCUCGUCUUUAAUUGCCAUCAUUGAGUUGGGCACUUUAAAGAGACUGCCGGUGUUAAACCGGAGGAAGGUGGGGAUGACGUCAAGUCCUCAUGGCCUUUAUAUCCUGGGCUACACACACGCUACAAUGGUCGGUACAAUGGGUCGCCAAGCCGCGAGGCGGAGCCAAUCCUCCAAAACCGGCCUCAGUUCAGAUUGUAGGCUGCAACUCGCCUGCAUGAAGUUGGAGUUGCUAGUAACCGCGCGUCAGCUAUAGUGCGGUGAAUACGUUCCCGGGGCUU